GCAGGAGGCGGUGCCUCUGGAGCAAGCGUGGGGCGCGGGAACCCGAGCAGGACUCUCCAGUCCUCAGUCACCUUGGAGAAAGAAGUGUGGAUCCUCAGAUUCCAUCUUUUCCAACUCCAAGGUGCCAUGGCAGAGAAGGUGCUGGUAACAGGUGGGGCUGGCUACAUUGGCAGCCACACGGUGCUGGAGCUGCUGGAGGCCGGCUACUUGCCUGUGGUCAUCGACAACUUCCAUAAUGCCUUCCGUGGAGGGGGCUCCCUGCCUGAGAGCCUGCGGCGGGUCCAGGAGCUGACAGGCCGCUCUGUGGAGUUUGAGGAGGUGGACAUUUUGGACCAGGGAGCCCUACAGCGUCUCUUCAAAAAGGUGGGUGCAGGCUGGGCGUGGUGGCUCACGCCUGUAAUCCCAGCACUUUGGAAGGCCGAGGUGAGAUCAUCACUUGAGUCCAGGUGUUCAAGACCAGCCUGCUCAACACGGUGAAACCCCAUCUCUACAGAAGAAUACAAAAAUUAGCUGGGCAUGGUAGCCCAUACCUGUGGUCCCAGCUACUUGGGAGGCUGGCAUGGGAGGAUGGCUUGAGCCUGGGAGGUGGAGAUUGCAG
rnacentral:sRNA from 1 species